GACAGAGGCCUCAAGCGUUAGGCGGAAUCACUGGGCUUAAAGCGUGCGUAGGCGGCUGCGCAAGUCGGGUGUGAAACCCCGGGGCUACAACCCCGGAACUGCAUCCGAUACUGCGUGGUCUAGAGGUAGGUAGGGGAGAUCGGGAAUUCCUGGUGUAAGCGGUGAAAGUGACGCAGAUAUCAGGAGGAACACCGGUGGCGAAGGCGGAUCUCUGGGCCUUACCUGACGCUCAGGCACGAAAGCGUAGGGGAGCGAACAGG
rnacentral:rRNA from 1 species